GAUGAACGCUAGCUACAGGCUUAACAUAUGCAAGUCGAGGGGUAACGAGAGGAAAGCUUGCUUUCCUUGUCGACGACCGGCGCACGGGUGAGUAACGCGUAUCCAACCUGCCCCCAACUAGGGAAUAACCUUGCGAAAGUAAGACUAAUACCCUAUAAUUUCCUCAGAUGUCAUCUGACGAGGAAUAAAGAUUUAUCGGUUGUGGAUGGGGAUGCGUCUGAUUAGCUUGUUGGCGGGGUAACGGCCCACCAAGGCAACGAUCAGUAGGGGUUCUGAGAGGAAGGUCACCCACAUUGGAACAUAGACACGGUCCAAACUCCUACGGGAGGCAGCAGUGAGGAAUAUUGGUCAAUGGGCGGAAGCCUGAACCAGCCAAGUAGCGUGCAGGAUGACGGCCCUAUGGGUUGUAAACUGCUUUUAUACAGGGAUAAAGUUAGCCACGUGUGGUUAUUUGUAGGUACUGUAUGAAUAAGGACCGGCUAAUUCCGUGCCAGCAGCCGCAGUAA
rnacentral:rRNA from 1 species